rnacentral:rRNA from 1 species
GGCGGCCGUAACUAUAACGGUCCUAAGGUAGCGAAAUUCCUUGUCGGGUAAGUUCCGACCCGCACGAAAGGCGUAACGAUUUGGGCACUGUCUCAACGAGAGACUCGGUGAAAUCAUAGUACCGGUGAAGAUGCCGGUUACCCGCGACAGGACGGAAAGACCCCGUGGAGCUUUACUGUAGCCUGAUAUUGAAAUUCGGUACAGUUUGUACAGGAUAGGUAGGAGCCUUAGAAGCGUGAGCGCUAGCUUACGUGGAGGCAUUGGUGGGAUACUACCCUAAUUGUAUUGGAUUUCUAACCCGCAGCACUUAUCGUGCUGGGAGACAGUGUCAGGCGGGCAGUUUGACUGGGGCGGUCGCCUCCUAAAGAGUAACGGAGGCGCUCAAAGGUUCCCUCAGAAUGGUUGGAAAUCAUUCAUAGAGUGUAAAGGCAUAAGGGAGCUUGACUGCGAGACCUACAAGUCGAGCAGGGUCGAAAGACGGACUUAGUGAUCCGGUGGUUCCGCAUGGAAGGGCCAUCGCUCAACGGAUAAAAGCUACCCCGGGGAUAACAGGCUUAUCUCCCCCAAGAGUUCACAUCGACGGGGAGGUUUGGCACCUCGAUGUCGGCUCAUCGCAUCCUGGGGCUGUAGUCGGUCCCAAGGGUUGGGCUGUUCGCCCAUUAAAGCGGUACGCGAGCUGGGUUCAGAACGUCGUGAGACAGUUCGGUCCCUAUCCGUCGUGGGCGUAGGAAAUUUGAGAGGAGCUGUCCUUAGUACGAGAGGACCGGGAUGGACAUACCUCUGGUGUACCAGUUGUCGUGCCAACGGCAUAGCUGGGUAGCUAUGUAUGGACGGGAUAAGUGCUGAAAGCAUCUAAGCAUGAAGCCCCCCUCGAGAUGAGAUUUCCCAACUUCGGUUAUAAG